GACCCCAUGGACUGUAGCCUACCAGGCUCCUCCGUCCAUGGGAUUUUCCAGGCAAGAGUAGUGGAGUGGGGUGCCAUUGCCUUCUCCGUGUUUUUCGCCUAGAUUCCUGCAACUGCCUCCGAACUAUUCUCCCCGCUUCUGUCCUUGCUCUCCUAUCUUUUUUUUUUUUUCUGCACAGCAGCCAGAAUAAACCUUUGAAAACAUAAGUCAUAUCAUAAAACAUAAAUCAUUCCUCCAGUGACUUCUCAUGCCACUCAAAUAAAAGUCUUUAAUGACUUCCAAGGCCCUACAAUUCUGCCCCCUACAUUCCCGCUUGCCUGGCCUAGCUCCUAAAGCUCUCCCUAGCUCACUCUAUUCAGCUACACUAGUCUCCUUCAACAAGGAAACUCUUGUCUCAAGACCUUUACGUUUGCUGUUCUUUCUGCCAGGAAUUCUCCUCUCCCUAAUGUUUGUAAAGUGUCCUCCAUUUUUUUAUGUCUUAGCUUAGGGGGCCCUUUCUGAUCACCCUUUGUAAAAUGGAUAACUCUACCCAAACAAUAAGCCUCAUCUCCCUUAACCCUACUGUCUGAUUCUCCAUAACCCUGAGCACCAUGAGGUAGACUGUAGGUUACUAAUUUCUUGUUUGCUUCCCCCCGCCCGUCAAAAUAUAAGUUCCAUGAGGACAGGGAUUUUAUUCUCUAUUCUUAGAACACAGAUUUCAGCUCCUAGAACACUGCCUGGCUCAAUGAAUAGAGGCAGAUGACUAAAGAACAGAGCCUAUUUGAUCAAUGACUGAAUGAACAGAAAGACAAAAUUGUUCUCCUGAGGAUGGGAAAGCACUUUGUAAACUAGGAAGUCACGCAGAGGUUUAUUUCUUCCAGUUGAUUCUUUGGUUUCGAAGCCUUAAGAACAGCUUCUGGACUUCCCUAGUGGCUCAGUGGUAAAGAAUCCACCUGCCAAUGCAGGAGACACAGAUUCGAUUCCUGGUCCAGGAAGAUUCGACACUCCUCUGGGCAACUAAGCCCGUGCACCACAACUACCAAGCCAGCGAGCCUAGAGUCAAGGCUUUGCAACAAGAGGAGCCACAGGGGUGGGAAAGCCAGCCCUGCAACAAAGAGGAGCCCCUGCUCACCUCAACUAAAGAAAGCUCGAGCACAGCAAUGAAGACCCAGCACAACUUAAAAAAAAACAAAACUCAACAACUUCUGAAAGCUUUAACUAAAUUGAGUGGGUCAAAUGGUCUUGGUUUAUGCAGUGCUGACUACCAGUUGGCAGGCUACCAGUGAUAUAACUGGGUAUGUCCAGGAGCCCAGUCUUGCCCCCAUUGCCUUCUCUGGUUCACGUCAAAGCUUAGUGAGUACCUUCCUCUUUUCUUUGUUUCUUUUUUAAAAUAUUUUAUGACAUAUUUAUUUAACAUGUAUAUUACACAUACGUUACUCUUUUAAGACACACAUGCUUUGGCUUUUUUGAGUUUUUUAUUCUGGGCAAUGGGAGUGAUAGCUGGUCCCUAUCUGUGGUUGGGAUUCUAUACAGGGAAAGUCAUUCAAUUAAAUCAAGCAGUAUUGAAUCCUUAAUUGACACAAAUGAGACAGACAGACAGCUGGAGGAGUGGGGGAGGGACAAGGAGCAGGUGCUCUGCAUAAUGGAGAAAGAAGAGGGGCAGAAUAUAAAUUCGGCUCACUUGUGAGUCUAGGUUUUAUAUCACAAGAUAGGUAAGUUUUGCCACAGCUUACUUUACACACAGCAGAAAGGAUCUGGUGGUGUCUUUGCCAAGGAUAAGGCAACAGAUUCCAAAUGCUUGUGCCAUUUUGGCUGCCCUGAUGGCCAAGUCUGCCUCUUUUCAGGUACGGUCAUUUAUGAAAAUCACUCUUGGUGGAGCCCAGGUUUUUUUUUCCAGAUAACUUUAUCACGUAAUGUUUGAAUGAAAGAAACCACUUUUUCAAUUCCAUUUCUCAAACAAAGGGAUUCUUAACACAUGAGUUAGGAAAGUGAGGGAAAGGAUGUUUCCAAAUCAUCAAAUGGCAGAUAUAGGGGCAUUCCUGCCGAGGAGGCAUGUCCCUUGACAACUCUGGAAUUUCCCUGAGAAUGUUGGGGGUAUUUUUUCCUCUUAGCCCCAUCCUGAUCUGAGCUUUGACUCCUCAGCUCAGACAAUUCUUCUCUGUAUCCAUGGGAAUUGCUCCCAUAAUUAGCAGUGUCUCCUGCCUGGAACACAGACAAGUAAAUGUUCAAACCUGGCAGCUGAUCCUGGGAAGGAGAGCUGAUUAAAUCUUUCCUGUUGCGAGGCGCCUCUCUGAUUUGAAUGUGACACCUACAUCCUCCACCUCAGGUUUGACUGAGAGAAGCAGUUUCACCCAUGCCUUCAUAGCCGGAGAUCCUGCUAUUUAAAGAUAUUUAAUCUGAAAAAGAGCCCACUAGUUUCCCAGUGAUUUAGUAAAAAGCAAGGGCUUCUCCCCCACCCCCUUUCCUGGCCCCUUCUCCACUAAACACCACCCUGGAUUUGGUAUGAUGAAAGCUCCUGCUGCACAGGUCUCAUCAAAUGCGAGGGAACCUUGAGGAAUAAAAGGAGUUCAGAACACCACUAAGUACACGGGUAGAUCCCGGACUUCCGUGGUGAUCCAGUGUUUGAGAAUCUGCCUGCCACCGCAGAGGACAGUUUUGAUCCCUGGUCUGGGAGGAUUCCACAUGCUGCUUGGCAACUAAGGCCAUGUGCCACAACUACUGAAGCCUGUGCCCCAGAGCUUGCAUUCCACAGGAGAAGCCACCACAGUGAGAAGCCCACGCACCGCGACUGGAGAGUGGCCCCCGCUCACUGCAUCAGAAAAAGCCCUCGCGCCGCAACAAAGACCUAGUGCAGCCAAAAUAAAGAAAUAAAAUGAAAAAAUUUUAAAGCUGUAUAUCGCAGCACCUAGUACUGUGUCUUGUUUAUACUAGAAGUUCUAUAAAGGCUUGCUCAAUAAGGAAUUCGUCUAAAACAUUUUGUUUAUUUAUUUAUUUUGGCCUUACCACUCGGCUUGCGGGAUCUUGGUUCCCCAACCAGGGAUUGUACCUGUGCCAUGGCAGUGAAAGCUCAGAAUACUAACCACUCGGUCACCAGGGAAUUCCCACAUCUAACACUUUAAUUUCCACAAGGCUUUCAUUAUAAUGUGGCAUUUGAUUCAGAUAAGUGGCAAAGCAAGGACUUGAACCCAGGUUUUCUAAAAGGAAGGAAAGAACUCAAACCCUGUAGUAGAUACUAUUUUUGCUCUCCCCAAAUCCUCUCAGAUCUUUUACCAGUUGCUCCCCACCUCUUUUAGGUGCUGUUUGCUUUUGUUUCCAAUAACCAGAACCUGUGGCUCUUCCCAGGAUGGUCCUCAGGCUACUAGAAUGGCUUUGAUUCUUUCCUCUUCCCUUUGCACUUAUGUUAAGUCACCUCAGUUGAGUCAGACUCUGCAACCCUGUGGACUGUAGCCCACCAGGCUCCUCCGUCCAUGGGAUUCUCCAGGCAAAAAUACUAGAGAGGGUUGCCAUUCCCUAUUCCAGAGGCUCUUCCUGACCCAGGGCUGGAACACACAUGUCUUUUGUUUCCUGAAUUAGCAGGCGGGUUCUUCACCACUAGUGGCACCUAGAAGUCCUCUCUCUUCCCUAAGCCUCUAGCAAAUGACUAACUGGAGGUGGGAAUUUGCAAACUCUGUUGACUGUCUCCAGUAGAAUUUAUACUCUUGAGUUCCCUAAGGGAUUAAGCUACCCUUUCUGGGACUGCCUGAAACCUCCUUUUUGCUUGGCUUCUUUCUCUUCUUUGCCCUGCUUCCCCUUGGCGCUUUCUGGCUUCGUGGAGGACUUCCUUAAUUAAUUUCCUAUCUAGGAUUGUUGUCAGACUCUGCUUCUAAGGUUCCCAAAGCAUCCAACUAAGCAUUUCCUUAGUUCCUACUAUAUGUCGGAAACUGUUACGUGCUCUUACAAAAGCUAGUUUAUUUAUACCUCACCAACUCUCUGUGAAUGACAUAUAUAAAUUUCUUUUUUUUCACACCUGAAUAAACAGGCUUAGAGAGCCAAGGUAAUUUAUCCAAGGUCACAGCUAUCGGAAGAGUCAGAAGUUGAACCUAGUUACUUUUACUCCAAAGAUGUGUCCUUUUCACUAAGUCUUGAUGCCUCUUGUGACUCUAAAUUCAAUGUUUUUCUCUUUGUGAGGACAGCAUCAUAGGCUGACUGAGUUUAGUGGGAACUCUUUUAUUUUGGACAUUUAUCUGCACAUCUGGUGGAUUCUUUUGCCAGUUUGUAUAACUUUUAGUAAUGUCAGAUAAAUAGUAAGAGCAGGUAAGAGAUAAAAAGCGCUUCAUCAAAAUAGGCUUGCUCUUUUCUCUCCUACAGGAUGCUCCUAGAAUAACUAUAUAUUAUUCUAAUAACUUGUGAUCUUCUUCCAGUUUCCUAACUCUCUGGGCCUCAAUUU